CCGGAAACUUACUGCUUCAAGAAACGGUGCUACAUGGACAAGACUCCAACGAGACAUGCCCGGCAGAAUCUGGAAGGCCUGGUGAAAAAAGUCUAGAGCCCACGGUUUCCGCGAUUCGUCAGAACAGCCCGCGUCAAAAAAGCCGAGACUCCUCCCCGGCGUAUAACGGCACAGAAGACCAUACACACCGAGAGCACGUGGAGGAUUUUGGCACGCCGGACAUUCCCAAUAAAACAACGAAACCGGAUGAUUUCACCGUUUUAAAUGACAUUCCCGAGGUAGACGACUUGCUCCUCUGCGAAUUGGCCAACCUUCUUGAUUCCUCCAAUUCUUAUGUAGAAACACCCAAACCUGAAAUAGAACAAGCUAGGUUUAUUACUGCCUUUUCCAGGGCUCUAAAAUCCAGAAAUGUCUUGCUACACAAACGAAUGGUGGUUUUACUCGAGCGGCAAUACAGUCAGGAUCUAUCCUUCUAGCGUAGAACAAUGCCCCGCGUGUAAACUUGGAAUCAAUCACACGCUUGGUCGAGGGGUUCAUAAAAAAACGGAAUUAGUGACUUGGAGAUUUUGAGCUCCUACAAAAAAAUAAAAUUGUUAGGGAUAAAAAGGGCUUCCAUCUAAGGAAUGCCCCACUUACUAAAAGAUUCAGGGUAGUCUAUGACAAGAGACUGCUUUUACCUGACGGGACCACAUUGCACUUUGGCUACUGACUUAUGCUACAAGCCCUGCUGGUUUUGGACGAUAUGCUAUUUGCAGGUAGCGAACAUCCUGUAAUUGCACGAGCUUUUACCCAAUAUCCUCAUCAUAGAAACCUGUCCGUGCUUUACUUGUUGCAGAAUGUGUUUCACCAAGGUAAAAAUAGCCAUACCAUUAGUUUGAAUGCCAAUUACAUGGUUUUGUUCAAAAACCCUAGAGACAAACUACAAAUUAACACUCUAGCUCAGCAGAUGUACCCGGGAAGGAAAUCCUACUUUAUGGGGAGCUAUGAGGACGCUACCAAAGCGCCAUUUUCUUAUUUAAUCGUGGAUUUAAAAGCAAAUAUUCCAGAACACCUGAGGCUCCGAACCGGCCUGUUCCCGUGGGAGUGGCCGGCUGCGUACAUUCCUAAAUAGUAACCGCUAUGUCUCUGCGUUUAAAAAGAAACCUGCCCCUCUUGAGAAGCAUAGUUGGGGCUACAGCUAAAGAACGGAAGGCCAUCUUGGGUCACUGUUCUUCAGAUCUCAUAUUAUCCCUAUGUGAGAUUGCUUUGAAUCUUCUCAAAGGGCACAUUCCACUCACCAUGACUCAAUUACAAAAAUUAAAGAGACAAAAGACCGCGAUAGAACUCUUUGCCAAUAAAAGGGCCAGUCUUCAAAAGAAAAGACAUAGCCUACAACAGUCUGGGGGUUUUCUUCUGCCGUUGCUAACUAUAGCUGUGCCCUUCAUCACCAGCCUUAUUGCGGCCAGACGUGGGGGUUGAACACGGAGUGUGAUGGCAAAUAAAAUGUACUUGGUGCCUCAACAAGAGUUGGAUAGACUUAAAAAACAAAUGCAGGGUCCUGAAAAUAUCAGACAAACAGCGGAAAAUGAUUUGGAUACGGUCAUGAAGGAUAUUUUGAACCGAAAAGGAUUGAACCCCUAUGAUAAGGUCCAAAAAUACACAAACCUCUUGCAAAGGUAUUUGGCCUUGGUAAAACAAGGUGAGAGAGAGAGACCAACCAUUUAACGCUUUCCCUACCGGAACCUUUAAAAGAUGACGCGCCUAGAAAGAGCCAAGCCCCUGUAAUACCUGUACCUGCGAUCUUACCGGCUGAAGAUCAAAUUCGUGUUGAAAAUAAUGUUAUGCAUGACAUGUUGACACAUGUUCCAGCACGUAACAGGAAAACUGUUAGAUACAUUAUGAACAAGACAAAAGACUCAAAGGGGACCGCUACUUGGAAUGACCAAGGAGAGUUUACCCUUCAGGGCGCUGUUGUCAAGGGUUCACAUAUGCUUGACUUGCUUAAAAGUACCACGGCAGCCCACAAGGUUGCUGAUGACCGAAGACCUCCAGGGUGGCGUCAGUUUCUUAAAGCCCUGGCAAUCCUCAACAUUCCCCUCUCGGGGGUACCCAACUAUAAGCUUCGUCAACAGAUUCAAGCUUUAAAACAAAAACCUUCACUGAGCUACAGCACCCCUAAAGAUGUCCCAACAACCCCCCCCUAUGAAGGGGAUGGUGAUGACUCAUUUACCCCCCUGAACGCCUCCGGACCUUUUCCUAAUCCCGAUCUCUCGGGGUGGUUAGACUUUUGAAUGACUUUUGAAUGACUAUGACUAAAUUCAAUACAUUUUAUUUGAAAAAUUAAGCAAUUUAACAUUUGUGGCAUUCUUGAAACAUUUGACGUGAGCAUACGCCUUGAUUACACGGUCUUAAAGGACACAUAUUUGAACACUUUAUAUUUUCUAACAAAACAAGCUACAACGGUAUCAUUACUUCCUAAAUCAUCAUUAUAAAGAGACAUAACAUCUUCAAAAGAAACUCCACAGGCUCUUUGGCAUAGGUAGAAUACACAGUGUUGACCACAUGUAGUGGAAAGGUUAUCUUGUACUUGUUUGAUGCUGUAGUAGAUCUUUGACCCGUUUUUGGUCAAAAAUUCUUUAAUAGAUUUGGGAAAAUGUGAAAAACCGGGGGGAAAGCCGUAGGAAUCAAAAAAAGUUGAGAUUUUUCUUCCUCCUUCAUCUUCUAAGGUCACAGCUAGCCAAUGUUCACCAGGCAUGUGUUUAGGAUGGGUAUUGACAAUAAACAUGGCCGGCCGCUCAGGCCAUUUCUCAAUAGGUAAUUCAUCACAAGCCCACACUCCACAAAAUUGUUUUCCAAUCAGGCGGAUCAUGAGCCCUUCCAACUCUUGGGUAUUCAUGUCUUUGCUCAACGAUCCCUAAUAAUAAUCCACUAAGACUUGUCUUCGGGCUUUUACUUCCAAGAUUGAAUCAGAGCAUGCAUAAACAAUCAUGCUAACUGUACAGGCUAAAGGUGUACGGAAACGCAUUUCCAGCCUGAGGUUACCUUGGGACACCACAGACAGAUUUCCUGAGGUGUCAUCAUCAGGGGAUAAAUUGAAAGCAUACAAUGUGUAACCCUCUGCAAAAUCAUUUCUGUCAAUAGGUAAAGAGAGAUUUUUUAGAUGCCUCCCGGUAGCCAGGAAUAGAUUGUAAAAUUCUCACACAGAUAUGUUGUUAUUAAAUUGCGGUUGGAAAGCCUUAGCAGGGACCUGACGUCCGUCCUGACAGAGAGCUACAUACUCUGCAUUGAGGUGUUGAAAAUUAAAGUUUUUUUUAUGUAAGCUGCCCGUAUCAGAGGCGUGAUCAACCAAACCUAUAACCAUGUAGCGGGGUAAAGGGCCAAGAAAAAGGUUUUCUUGACUGCAGAUUCUACUGCCCACAGGUAUGCUAAAGGUUUUCAUAGUAAUUCUUUGGAGAGGGUAAAGGGCAUUUCCUUUCAUCAAAGCCUGUGAGUGACCCAGACGAACUGCCGGAGAUACAGACACUUUUUUAAUAAAAAGCGUUGCCCUCAACACUUUUAAACUAAAGUCACCGUCUUGGGCAGACAUCAGACAAAACUCUUCCUUGGCCCUGGUAAAUUUUAGUCUUAAAUCAACCGAAUCUAAGAGUAAACGUUCUUGAAAGAAAAUGUCAGAGUGUAUAGGACCUAGCAGAUGAAACUCUCGAGAUUCGGCACAGUAGUGAGCGCGUGCCUCCAGUCCUUUGUUUGCACCGGUGGAAGGGUCUAUCGAUUCCAUAGAGGCUCCUGCAGUAUCCUUGCUAAACAGCCCGGCGCUGAAUUGUGUCUUGAGAGUGUCUUCGGUGUAGUUGAGUAAACACUCUAUGAUGGCCCUAUAGGGGUAUGUGGCACUGCUUUGACUGAUUAGGCGUUCCACCAAAGUCACAUCCACUUGGGAGAAGAUGGUGGCCAAGGGGUAAUUAAUGAGACUCACUUUGGCAUCGUUUGCAAUAUUAGUACCAUCUCUUUUGGUCACUUUUAGACGUAAAUGCACCAAGGUGUUGUUGAGGUCCAGACAGUUGUCACUGUGGCCUGGUAUGAAAAAUUCUAUAGGACCGUUGUCGGUAAUGGCAGAGAAUGGGGCUAUCUCCACAUAACUGGACCUGUCUAUUGAAUGUUGGGUUAAGGGGGCCGUGAAAAGAUCGAGCUCUGUUUUUAUAGCUUCAGAGGACAUGCGGUGUAAAAGAGACAUGUUGCUUGUUCUUUCAGAAACUACUUCCGAGUAUUCUUUUUGCCGUUUUUGGUCCAGACCUCCUCACUUUACCACGUCUUUGAGUUACUGAGUUUCUUUUAAUGGUUAACCUCCUCUUUUUAGGGGCAGGCCUGCGCCUUAUACCCGGAGGUCUCUUUUUUGGUCUUCGAGACAACAUCAUAAGCCCCGAGCCUUCUUGAUGCUCGGCAUCUGGUGACGCCCUUCGGGUCAUAGCAUUGGCUACAACCUCACUUACUAUAUUUUUAGCCGCUGAUUUUAAAUGGGGUUUGGCUAUGCUGAGGCUUCUCUUCAUAAACGGUAAAACCAUCCUAAAGAGGUUACAAAAUAUACCUCAUAUCCCAGAACCGUACAUGGUCGGGGAUCCAUGAUAGCCGGGUAACGCAUUACCCACUUGAUCAACAUAGUAUGAGACAUAACGUUUAGGGUCGAGAUGGUGGUUGUGUUCCAUAACCAUUUUAAUUUAUUAGUAUUAUGUUU